GAGGGGUCACUUUAAGCACAGAAUCGGUGGGCUAAAGGGAGUAACUUAGCCCUUCUCCACCUAGCCUUUAAGAUGGAAGGCCACCAAGCUGUGGAAAAAACAGCUUAUGAGAGGGGCAUUCACAGAGUCGAAUCAAAGAGUGUGACGAGCUAAGUAUCUGUUCUUCCCACAAACUUUUCUUUAUAAAUGUCCCUUGCACCCUUGCAGUCUCAUUGCCUCUUUAAAAAACUGGGCUUGGGAAUAUUUAUUUGACAAGAAAACAUCCAACUUCUAUCUCAGGGCUGAGAAGGAAGUGGGGGGUGAGAAAAACAUUUGCAGGGUGUAGGGAGAGGAAGAUAGAAAUGUGUGCUAACAGCAGAGAGGGAGUGAAGAGCAAGGUCAUUUUAUUUAUUUCAUUUCAUUAUUUAUUAUUUAUUUCACUUUUCUUCCAUCAUCAAGGUGGUGUAAAUGAUGUUUUCAAGCAGUCACUUCAUCCAGACACUGACUAGAUUUAGACCCGCUUCUGACUCAGGAAACCAGUGGAGCAAAAAGGCUCCUUUCAAAUGGGAGGAUCGUUUAAAGAAGAACAAAAUUGCUUAUACUGGCUGUACAGCAUUCUAAGAAAGAGAUAAAGAAGCCCUUUUUGUGUCCAAGAAUAUGUCCAUGAGGGUUGAACAUACAGAAGAAUUUUACUGCAGGAUGGGAGGGGAUCAAGAAAGGCUACUUCGUGAAGAUAACCGGAGAAGAAGUAAAAGCAACCCAGAUCUCCUGGAGAAAGAGAGAUUUAAAAUGGUGUGACCAUGCCCCCAUUCAGCCAGCCAAUCAGAUCUACAGUAUGUGCAGUUUGAAAUUGUACAUCCCAGACACAAGAGGCUCCUUCAGACAUUACUCUGAAGGCUCACUGUAUCUGUUAGUGGCAGGCCGUAGGGGGAAGAAGUCUCAUGGCCCACACCCACCACAUCGCUCAUUCCCGU